CUUUUUAGGAUUGUCUAGAGAACAUCUAAACAUUAUUUGUGUACUUGUUGUGAACCCUUUUUCAGAAAUGUUAAAGUGUUUCCUUUAACAAGAAAUAUUUCCACAAUUGGGGUCCAGGAAUUCGAAAUAAUAUCUGCAAGUUUCCUGACAGAAAGAAUCACCGCAUAUAGUACCUAUUUCCGUGAAGAAGUUCCAGAACAAGCUCCCAAAAAUUAUCACCAUGUGCUACCCAUGCUGCCGUCCCUGCUGUGGGCCAUAUUGCUGUUGGCCAACAGUUCGUCAGUGGGAACAACGUUAUGCGGCUAGCGAACAUCUAGUUACCCGGCUUGUCAAGUGAACAUCUCCAAAUUUUGUCGGGAUUGUUGCAUUGCUUUCUGUAAGGAGAAUACUAAAUCGAAGCCAUCACCAACAUCCCGCUUAGUAACUAUUUCCGUGAAGAAGCUUCUAUUCCAUCAAAAUGUGCUACCCACCCUACGGGACCUUCGCUCCCCGUGGAUUCUGCUGCUCCCCAAACUGUAAUCCUUGCUACCCGAGCUGUGCUAACUUUGGACCUUCUGCUGGAUGUGGACCCUAUAUAGGCGGAGCUGAAAACUUCAUUUAGGAACUUCUUUAGAACGAAAUCUAGGUACUCUGACACAAUUGGUACUACAAGUAAUAUGUAAAUUAAUGACAAAUAAAUAGUCUACAAAAAUUAUAU